rnacentral:rRNA from 1 species
UAUCCUAACCGUGCGAAGGUAGCGUAAUCACUUGUUCUUUAAAUGGGGACUAGUAUGAAUGGCACCACGAGGGUUAUACUGUCUCCCUUUUCCAAUCAGUGAAACUAAUCUCCCUGUGAAGAAGCAGGGAUAAAAAUAUAAGACGAGAAGACCCUAUGGAGCUUUAAAUUUCAAUUCAAAGCAUAAUGAAAUAGAAUUUUAGGUUGGGGUGACCGCGGAGUACAAAACAACCUCCACAUUGAACUAGGCCUAUUACCUUGAGCAACGAACUACAAUCCUAUGCACAAAAAAAUUUACAUUCAUUGACCCAAUUUUUUUGAUCAACGAACCAAGUUACCCUAGGGAUAACAGCGCAAUCCUCUUCAAGAGCCCCUAUCGCCAAGAGGGUUUACGACCUCGAUGUUGGAUCAGGGUAUCCCAGUGGCGCAGCCGCUACUAAUGGUUCGUUUGUUCAACGAUUAAAACCCUACGUGAUCU